rnacentral:rRNA from 1 species
UGCGGAGGAUCAUUAUCGAAUCAAUCUCGAGGGGGGAAGAACACUGUCGCUGGCUUUCAUCAUCAAGCAUGUGCACGUCUUUUCCCUUUCUCUCUUACACCUGUGCACCCAUCGUAGGCCCUCGGAAGAGGAUCUAUGUCUUUCCAUCACACCGAUCGCAUGUCCAUAGAAUGUACUACAUAUAUGAAUACAACUUUCAGCAACGGAUCUCUUGGCUCUCGCAUCGAUGAAGAACGCAGCGAAUUGCGAUAAGUAAUGUGAAUUGCAGAUUUUCAGUGAAUCAUCGAAUCUUUGAACGCACCUUGCGCUCCUUGGUAUUCCGAGGAGCAUGCCUGUUUGAGUGUCAUCGAAUUCUCAACCAUGCCUAGGCAUGGCUUGGAGUUGGGGGUUGCUGGCCUCGAGAGAAGUCAGCUCCCCUGAAAUGUAUUAGCGAGUCUGACGUGCAUGGUCUUUCGACGUGAUAAUGAUCGUCGUUGGCUGGCGUGGGUUGAUUUGCUCCCAACCAUAGAUCGACGACUUGACCUCAAAUCAGGUAGGACUACCCGCUGAACUUAAGCAUAUCAAUAAGCGGAGGAAAAGAAACUAACAAGGAUUCCCCUAGUAACUGCGAGUGAAGCGGGAAGAGCUCAAAUUUCGAAUCUGGCGGUCAUUGGCCGUCCGAGUUGUAAUCUAGAGAAGCGUCUUCCGCGCUGGACCGUGUA